CACGUAGGGUGCGAGCGUUUGUCCGGAAUUAUUGGGCGUAAAGAGCUCGUAGGCGGUUUGUCGCGUCUGCUGUGAAAACUGGAGGCUCAACCUCCAGCCUGCAGUGGGUACGGGCAAACUAGAGUGCGGUAGGGGAGAUUGGAAUUCCUGGUGUAGCGGUGGAAUGCGCAGAUAUCAGGAGGAACACCGAUGGCGAAGGCAGAUCUCUGGGCCGUAACUGACGCUGAGGAGCGAAAGCAUGGGGAGCGAACAGG
rnacentral:rRNA from 1 species